rnacentral:rRNA from 1 species
CCUACUCCUACGGGAGGCAGCAGUAGGGAAUCUUCCACAAUGGACGCAAGUCUGAUGGAGCAACGCCGCGUGAGUGAAGAAGGUUUUCGGCUCGUAAAACUCUGUUGUUGGAGAAGAAUGGAUCUGAUAGUAACUGUUCAGGGAGUGACGGUAUCUUACCAGAAAGCCACGGCUAACUACGUGCCAGCAGCCGCGGUAAUAA